GAGACCCUGUGUAUUCCAUCUCUUACUCCUGCUCUGAAUGCAUUUCAGAUAUUGCCGUGGAAACGUCAAUUCCCCAAGCCAAGAAGACCCCUGUUUCCCAGAAGCUACUUCUACAAACUCUAGAAUAUAGAUGAGCCUGGCCCAAUCACACGCUACUUCUCGACACAGUGGAUUUGCAGCGCACCUGCAUUGGAGAAAAAUGAAACAUCUGCUGAGCCUGUACCCGCCCAAGAGAGAGAAAGAAAGAGAAAGAGACAGAGAUACAGACGGGAACAAGAAACUUGUACCAAAAGAAUGA
rnacentral:lncRNA from 1 species